CGGGCGCACGCGUGUUGAUUUCUGAACACUUUCCGGUCCCGUUAUCGUGCAGUGUCGGCACCGCUGUACGCCAGUGCCGUGUCCGCGAAUGUCCGAGCUGCUCGUGUUCCACUGCCACUGCGAGGGUUUUUAAAAGGGUGGGGGACGGUGCACGUCUGGGGGGGACGUCUGCUAGUCCACCGCGGGGGCGUGUAAAUUGGACGUCACGGGGCGUUCAGAGCCAGCUGUGAGCCAUACCGUUCCCGAGUGGGCUCGGGCAUGAAACGGCGGAAAUAUAUGAGGGGCAUCCUGGAUUAGAAGGGGAGAUUAUCGCUGAGCCGGCAGUCCAAGAAUCGACUGCUUGCCCGUACCCGCAGUCGUUUGUCGAAACAGUUGCUGUCUUAAAGUUGGGUGCGACUAAGAGGCAGUUGCAGUUCUCCGCAUUGACCACGAGGUGGCAGCAGAGACCACGGAUAGAACUUUUCCGAGGGACAUUGGCGGGGGCCCGCGGCGGAGUCCGUGGCGAUCUGUUGUGUCUGCCUUGAGAUGAUGGGGGAGUAACGCGAAGCUAGAAGUGGGAGGGGAAGACGAAGAAAACAGAGGGAAACUACUCCUAAGCCAGAAAAGUUGUGCGAAGUGCAUAUGAAUAGGUAUUAAAAAAAAGAGAUUUUUUUUUU